GGAUGCCUUGGAAUUAAAGUUGACAACGGAUACAGUCUUUCGGGCUUGCCUUACGCACCGACUUUCACUUGUUGGAGGCCCCAGUUUGAGGGCUUUCGUAGCGGGUGUCCUUCGCUUCCUGUUCAGUGAUGCUGUGGGGCAGCAGUUCAGUAUGCUGGGCCAACGCAAGAAGAGAAGAUUGAAGGACAUGGUUAUUUACAGCGUCGUCGAACAGGCCGUUAGGAGCAACUGUGCUUAUGACAAUGCGACAUCCCACUCCAUCCGUGAUGCGGCGGGAUCCUGGCUCAAGAACUGCACCACGAGGAUGAUGACUGCUAAAAAGAAAGUUGGGGAAGAUACCAAUGACUCGAGCUCCUGUGACUAAGCACUCAGAGUGGCAAAUGGUUUUUUUUUUUUUUUUAUCGUCUUCUGGCAAAGUUGUCUCUGGAUUUUCGUGCAUUUCCUUUUAUAGGGGCCCCACAAUGCCUUUAGAAA
rnacentral:lncRNA from 1 species